UACCUUUGUAGAGUUGUACCUGGAGGUUCUCCAUGUUACUAUCAAAAACUUUCAUAAGCUGCAAACAACUAGAAGAUGGGAUUGUGCUUCAUUGAGGGAUUUAAUGCCUGAAUAGUCUGUAAUAGAAAGUUGAUAGAGCAGUCCUGUGCCUCAUUAAUGGCUUUCUUUCUGACAAGAAGCAGCCAUUCUACGGGCUACUCGAACCUGGA
rnacentral:lncRNA from 1 species